rnacentral:rRNA from 1 species
AGUGAACGCUGGCGGUAGGCCUAACACAUGCAAGUCGAACGGCAGCACAGUAAGAGCUUGCUCUUACGGGUGGCGAGUGGCGGACGGGUGAGGAAUACAUCGGAAUCUACUUUUUCGUGGGGGAUAACGUAGGGAAACUUACGUUAAUACCGCAUACGACCUACGGGUGAAAGCAGGGGAUCUUCGGACCUUGCGCGAUUGAAUGAGCCGAUGUCGGAUUAGCUAGUUGGCGGGGUAAAGGCCCACCAAGGCGACGAUCCGUAGCUGGUCUGAGAGGAUGAUCAGCCACACUGGAACUGAGACACGGUCCAGACUCCUACGGGAGGCAGCAGUGGGGAAUAUUGGACAAUGGGCGCAAGCCUGAUCCAGCCAUACCGCGUGGGUGAAGAAGGCCUUCGGGUUGUAAAGCCCUUUUGUUGGGAAAGAAAAGCAGCAGGUUAAUACCCCGCUGUUCUGACGGUACCCAAAGAAUAAGCACCGGCUAACUUCGUGC